AGCCUGCCGCGUGUGUGAAGAAGGCCUUCGGGUUGUAAAGCACUUUCGUCGGGGAGGAAGGCGAUGAGGUUAAUAACCUUGUCGAUUGACGUUACCCGCAGAAGAAGCACCGGCUAACUCCGUGCCAGCAGCCGCGGUAAUACGGAGGGUGCAAGCGUUAAUCGGAAUUACUGGGCGUAAAGCGCACGCAGGCGGUCUGUUAAGUCUGAUGUGAAAUCCCCGGGCUCAACCUGGGAACUGCAUUCGAAACUGGCAGGCUUGAGUCUUGUAGAGGGGGGUAGAAUUCCAUGUGUAGCGGUGAAAUGCGUAGAUAUCUGGAGGAA
rnacentral:rRNA from 1 species